rnacentral:rRNA from 1 species
UACCGGAUAAGAAAGCAGAUCGCAUGAUCAGUACUUUUAAAAAAGGCGGCGUAAGCUGUCGCUAGUGGGAUCGGCCCCGCGGUGCAUUAGCUAGUUGGUAAGGUAAAGGCUUACCAAGGCGAUGAUGCAUAGCCCGAGUUGAGAGACUGAUCGGGCCACAUUGGGGACUGAGACACGGGGCCCAAAACCCUACGGGGGGAGGGGCAGCAGUAGGGGGAAUCUUCCACAAUGGACGCAAGUCUGAUGGAGCAACGCCGCGUGAGUGAAGAAGGUUUUCGGAUCGUAAAGCUCUGUUGUUGGUGAAGAAGGAUAGAGGUAGUAACUGGUCCUUUAUUUGACGGUAAUCAACCAGAAAGUCACGGCUAACUACGUGCCAGCAGCCGCGGUAAU